GGAUACAAGGGUCAUCUGACUGUAAUGUUUGUCACCCCAUUGAUCCCCAGGAUUGAUUGAGCUGAUCUAGAUAGCUAGGCAGGUGUCUGUUCCUCUCCCAGUGGGCCUUGUUUGCUCCUUCUAAAACUUUAUGCUUGGAUGAUUGGAGAUGACAAGGACAAGUCUUUACUGUGCUCCACCUGCCAGGAGUCUCCAAAUAAGUUCUCAAAAGAUAGAUAUUUCUAGGAUUUUUAUUUAUAGGGAUCUUUUAAAAUUCUAACACAUAAAACCCAAAGUUUUGAUUUU
rfam:Rattus norvegicus chromosome X, whole genome shotgun sequence.